UGAGCAAUCUGCCCUUCUCAUCGGAAUAAGCGUUGGAAACGACGUCUAAUGCCGAAUACGACCUCCUUUCGCAUGAUCGGAGGUGGAAAGCUCCGGCGGAGAAGGAUGAGCUCGCGGCCUAUCAGCUAGUUGGUGUGGGUAAUGGCCCACCAAGGUGACGACAGGUAGCCGGCCUGAGAGGGUGACCGGCCACACUGGGACUGAGACACGGCCCAGACCUCCGUAGGGAGG
rnacentral:rRNA from 1 species